rnacentral:rRNA from 1 species
AGAGUUUGAUCCUGGCUCAGGAUGAACGCUGGCGGCGUGCCUAAUACAUGCCAAGUCGAACGAAUCUUCUUCGGAGGAUGAGUGGCGAACGGGUGAGUAAUACAUAGGUAACCUGCCCCUGUGCGGGGGAUAACAGGAGGAAACUCCUGCUAAUACCGCAUAGCCAUGAGCACCGCAUGGAGCUCAUGCCAAAUAUCCUUUAUGGGAUAGCGCAGGGAUGGACCUAUGGCGCAUUAGCUUGUUGGCGGGGCAACGGCCCACCAAGGCAACGAUGCGUAGCCGGCCUGAGAGGGCGGACGGCCACAUUGGGACUGAGACACGGCCCAGACUCCUACGGGAGGCAGCAGUAGGGAAUUUUCGGCAAUGGGGGAAACCCUGACCGAGCAACGCCGCGUGAGCGAAGAAGGCCUUCGGGUCGUAAAGCUCUGUGGUAAAGGAAGAACGUCGCAUGCAGGAAAUGGUGUGCGAGUGACGGUACUUUACCAGAAAGCCACGGCUAANUACGUGCCAGCAGCCGCGGUAAUACGUAGGUGGCGAGCGUUAUCCGGAAUCAUUGGGCGUAAAGAGGGAGCAGGCGGCCGCAAGGGUCUGUGGUGAAAGACCGAAGCUAAACUUCGGUGAGCCAUGGAAACCGGGCGGCUAGAGUGCGGAAGAGGAUCGUGGAAUUCCAUGUGUAGCGGUGAAAUGCGUAGAUAUAUGGAGGAACACCAGUGGCGAAGGCGACGGUCUGGGCCGCAACUGACGCUCAUUCCCGAAAGCGUGGGGAGCAAAUAGGAUUAGAUACCCUAGUAGUCCACGCCGUAAACGAUGGUCACUAAGUGUCGGGGGUCAAACCCCGGUGCUGCAGUCAACGCAGUAAGUGAC